CACAGUUCUAACUUGUAAUGAAACAUAUAAUCUCAGAGAUUCAAAGAAUCAGCCAAACAAUACCUUGUAACAAUUUCUACCUCUUUCUGUGAAUGGCCACGAUGGCGCGUGCAAUUCACUGUGAGCUCGGUGCGCAGAAACCUGCCGUUUUGAGGAGAGAGACUCCGGUUUCGGUUCAGGUUCCUGCUCCAAAGAUAAAGCUGGGGGAAACGGAUCAAAACGCGAAGAUUAUAUUGCAGCCAAGGCUGUGUACGCUGAGAUCGUACGGUGAGGAUCGUUUUGCGGUGGUGAAGACCAGAAAGGACGGCGGAGAUGAGGUGUCGCCGUUUUUU
rnacentral:misc_RNA from 1 species